GGCCCCCCCCUGACCUCUCCCCCCGCAGGAGGUGGACAUCUACACGGUGAAGGUGGAGGAGCUGACGUUCACGGCGCCGUUCUGCCUGCAGGUGAAGCGCAAUGAUUACGUCCACGCGCUCGUCGCCUACUUCAACAUCGAGUUCACGCGCUGCCAUAAGCGCACCGGCUUCUCCACCAGUGAGGGCGGGGCCUGCGAGAGGGGGCGUGGCCGGGGGGCGUGGUUAGCCAAUGGGGGCAGGGCUAGCAGCAAGGCUCCGCCUUCACCCCACCUUCACUGUGCCAUAUAUGGAACGUGUGGGUGGAGCUGAGGGGGCGUAGUUAGCCAAUGGGGGCAGGGCUAGCAGCAAGGCUCCGCCUUCACCCCACCUCCACUGUGCCAUAUAUGGAUCUUGGGGGUGGAGCUAAGGGAGGCAUCAUUGGCCAAUGGGGGCGGGGCUAGAAGCAAGUCUCCUUCUCCAUUUCCCCCACUGUGCCAUAUAUGGAACGUGUGGGCGGAGCUAAGGUAGGCGUUGUUAGCCAAUGGGGGCGGGGCUAGCAGCAAGGCUCCGCCUUCACCCCACCUUCACUGUGCCAUAUAUGGAGCGUGGGGGUGGGGCUAAGGGAAGUGGGCGGGGCCUGGGGAUCUGGUUAGCCAAUGGGGGCAGGGCUAGCAGCAAGGCUUCGCCUUCAUCCCACUCAACUGUGCCGUAUAUGGAGCAUGUGGGUGGAGCUGAGGGGGCGUGGUUAGCCAAUGGGGGCGGGGCUAGAAGCAAGUCUCCACCUUCAUUUCCCCCACUGUGCCAUAUAUGGAACAUGGGGGUGGGGUUAAGGGAAGUGGACAAGGCCUGGGGGCGUGGUUAGCCAAUGGGGGCAGGGCUAGCAGCAAGGCUCCGCCUCCAUUUCCUCCACUGUGCCAUAUAUGGAACGUGUGGGCGGAGCUAAGGGAGGCGUGGUUGGCCAAUGGGGGCGGGGCUAGCAGCCAGGUUCCACGUCCUGAGCUGUCCCCAUAUCCCCAGGGCUGUCCCCAUAUCCUUUUGGUUGGGUCCCCAGGGCUGUCCCCAUGUCCCCUCAGUGUCCCCAAGGCUGUCCCCAUGUCCUUUGGCUGUCCCCUGGAUGUCCCCGUGUCCCCUCAGUGUCCCCAGGGCUCUCCCCAUAUCCCCAGGCUGUUCCCAUGUCCCCUUGGUGGUGUCCCCAGGGCUGUCCCCAUGUCAUAGGGCUGACCCCAUGUCCCCUGAGUGUCCCCACGUCCCCAGGGCUGUCAGCCAUGUCAUAGGGCUGUCAGCCAUGUCCUUUGGCUGUCCCCAUAUUCUCUUGGUGUCCCCAUGUCCCCAUAUCCCCAGGCUCUCCCCAUGUCCCCUUGGUGUCCCCUGGCUGUCCCCAUAUCCUCUGGCUGUCCCCAUGUCCCCAGGGCUGUCCCUAUGUCUCCUGGCUUUCCCCAUGCUCCCUUCCCCCUUGGUGUCCCCUUGGUGUCCCCUGCCUGUCCCCGUGUCCCCAUAUCCCCUGGCUGUCCUCAUGUCCCCUUGGUGUCCCCUGGCUGUCCCCAUACCCCGUGGCUGUCCCCAUACCCCCUUAGUGUCCCCUGCCUGUCCCCAUGUCCCCACAUCCCCUGGCUGUCCCCAUGUCCCCUUGAU
rnacentral:lncRNA from 1 species